rnacentral:lncRNA from 1 species
UCCAAUAUGUCCCAUUCCAAAAGCCUGAAAGUAACAGUGAUGUAAUAGUUACUCAUAAACUUGAUUCUGCACCUGUUGAAACCCUCAGGAAUCAGUAAGUGCCCUGGCAGUACUAGCAACAGACAGAGGAAACCAGAGCCUGUGACAUCCUGAGCAAGCACUGUGUAUCUUCUUAUGGCUGCACACUGAAACCUCAACUCACCCCAUGGCUAUCAAUCUACCAGGAAAACAGUCGGAAGCAGAAUACUACAAAACAGCUUCUGUUAGGCAAUGUUACUGCAAGGUUGAAGGAGCCAGUGUUGGGCGAGUCAGAGCUGCAGAAUUUCACAAGUGACUUUGACUGACGGAUUGUCCAGGAUGCAUGGAGAGCUUGGAGCUUGCCCAGAGAAAGACAUGGGGGACAUAAUAGAAAGCAAGAUUUUACAAUUGGUCUUGUGGAACAGCCUUUGCAACAGGAAAUGGG